ensembl:lncRNA
UGUGGGUGUCUGUCGUGGGGGUUAAAGCAGCACCCACAAAUGCUCCCAUCUGCACAUACAAACAGCCCAGUGCACCCGCACAAUGGAGCUUCUCCUUUCACCGCAGUUGCACUUCAUGCUCUGCUAUCCAGGGAGCUGCCAGAGAAACCCAGAGCUGUCCUGGCUCCUGCUGGCUCAGGGUGAGAUCAGCAGAGGCUGCUGGGGCCGGAGAGCACACCUAAGCUGCUCCUGGCUCCUGUGGGCUCUAUGCGGGGAUAUCAGCGCGGGUUCCCCACUGGGGAUGCCGUGCAGGCUGGAUGGAUGCAGAAGCUGGUGCAGCUCUGGGAUGGAGUGACCCCGGGGUAAGGCAUGUGCACGGGGAGGGAAUGAAACACAUCCUGUUCCCAGCGCUGUACCUCGAGGGCUGGCUGCCAGAGAGAGCGAGCAGAGGUGUUACUGCUGAGCUCUGCCUCCUGUACACGCAUUGUGUAUCACCCCAUCCCAGGGCAGGGUACCCCCACACCUUCCCCUGCCCCCCCUCCCCGCUCUGCCAGCCUGCACUCCCCUCACCCCCGGCUGCAAAGUGAGCAGGGCAGGUGGGUGGAAAAGUGACAGCUGGUGUUGUUCCAGUGCAGGUUAAUGAAUGUCUCCUCCUCUCCCCCCCCACACCUCCUCCUCCCCACCGCCCGCCCCAGCACCCAGGCUCCUGGCUCCUAUCAGCCCAUCAGGCUCCCAUUAACAAAGGCAGCCCUGGAGAGUUUGCAUAGAGACCUGCUCUGCCUCUAAUCGAGGUGGGCUAAUCGCCUCCCUUGCCCAGCCUGCCUUCCCUGGGUCAAUAUUUGCUCUGAGCAAACACAGAGCCGUGACAGGUGUGCCGGGAGAAGGCUCGCCACGGCCAGCCCAGCCCUCUCGCCUGUCUCUGCUCAGCCCCAUCUCUCCAGCCCCCCGACCGACGGCCAGCAGCGCUAUUUUUAUCAGGGCUAUAAAAGCCCCAUCCUGCCGGCGUCACCCUCAUUUUCUGCUUGCGAGCCAGCGGGGGAAGGAGGAGCCGCUCACCUGAGAGCUGCCAGCGUGUCACCGGAGCCAGGCAGCAGAUGUCAAGCAUCCAUCCACCUCUUGGACUUUACCCCCGAGCAGCGGCCGCAGUGAGGACACACCAGCUCCCAGCCUACAGGGACGUGGCCGGGGAGGAAGGAUGGGGAAGGGGCACCCUGCAGCUCGCAGCACAGAACCUCCCCGCCCGGAGCGACUCUGCACUUGCCUGGCGUCGAGCCCCACGUGCAAGACCUGACCUGAACGUUUUGUUCGUUCGGCUCGCGUUAGGCAGGUCCAGCCUGUCUGCAAGCACACGCGCCGUGCCAGCCGCACACGGGCACCUGCAGCCCACCAGAAGUGCACUCCUGGCGGGCAAUACCUGUGUAGGAUACACGGGCUGGUUUGCAGCACGCGUAGCACGAUGAGCGCACAUGGGACAUGUGCACACGACACACAGUCCUCGCUUGCACACGUGCACGGCGUUCAAGCCGCGAAUGGAGCUUGCACAAAGCCAUCAGCACAUGGAAGGCGCAAGCCGCACGCGUGCAUGGGACCAUGCACGUGUGCAGGACACUGAUGGCACUCAGCAUUGCAGGUGGUGACAUGCAGGACACGCAGUACGUGUGCCCGUGGCACUGUGGCACACAGGCACAGGGCUGGCUGCCCUGCGGCAGUCAGGUGCAGCUCCAGGUAGGUCUCAGCAGUCUGCUGGCACUGAGCAAAGCCGCUGCUGGAGAUGGGGAAAGACAGCAGGAGCAGAGCGGAGGACUGAGCGGUUGCAUCUUUUUCCUGCCUACGUGUCUGCACACGGUGCUGCUGCUGCUGCAGUCCCUCUGGCCGUGUGUUGCGGAAGGGUCUCGGGGGGGAACUGGGAUUUCUGCUCCAAACCAGCACAGAGCCCAGGGCUGCUCCUUGCCUCAUUCAGACAGUACAGAGUCCUGGAGAGAUGGGAGAUGGGACAGUGAGGGAGCCUGGGAAAACGGCAAAAGCAGACCUCAGAGCUGUACCUGUGCAGCUCUGGCGGGAACAGGAGCAAUUGAGUGCUCAGAAAUGCCAUGAAUCCUGCUGCUUCCCCCAUCCCUAUGCAUAUGGGCUCAGAGCUCCGUGCCCCAGCACAGGUCAGCUACAUCCCUGCACUGGAUGGAGCAAAGGCACAUACUGGGUUACCUGAGUGAGCUUGGAAAGUUUCCAGCACGUGGUGCAGGGAAGAACCAAAAGCACAGAGCAAAGAGCCCCCCUGGAGCCAAGUGCCCACCCUGGCCUUGGGGACAGCCACACACAGUGUGUCACACCGCACAGAGCCUGACCAGCACAGCCCUGCAACCCUGCGCUCUGUCUGCUGCUGCCAACCAUGGCCAAGUUGAAAAGCCAAGAAAGCACAACACACGCCCUGAUGCGCACAGCCCCUCGCAGCCACCCAACUCAGGAUCAAACAGAGUGUGAUUAAUGGUGCUGAGCAAAGCCAGACCCUGCUGCCUGCAUGCUCCAGCCGCUGCACAUGUCUCCUGGUGCAGAUGCUAUCUGGCACAGUGGGGCACUGCAGGCACUGGAGAUGCUCACCCGGGUGUCUCCAUGUACCAUAGGGACACGUGCCCCAGUAGCACAGCCUGGGGCUAUUUGAGCCUAUGAGACCCUCCUUACACUCUGCAGGUAGCUCAGCUGCUACAAAAAGCCCUUGGUUCUGUCCCAGCAAGAGCUGGAGGCAGACCUUGUGCACGUGUGCUAGUGGGAAAAAGGGACACCUGCAGCAUCAGCAGGAGCAGCACCCAGAUGAGCCCUGGGAUGAGCUGCUCCCUGAGCCCCACGGAGCAGGGAUCUGGCCUCUGUGCUGUCACCUUGGCUCUGGGUGAAUAAAGCAGCUCAAACUGCUCGUGCUCUGUGCCCAGCUCCAUGCCCAAGCCAGCAGUGGUGAAUCAGGCUGGCAGGGGACAAAGCACAAGGCCCUGGUGUCACCACCACUGUGCCACAGCCCCAUUUGCAUCACGCUGGGCUCUCGGGGCCCUGUGCUGGGGAUUUGCAUGGUGCAGCUCUGCACGAGGCCAAUUUGCAUGGGGAGGGCAGGGUGCAGGGGGAGCACUGGGGAGCAAUGUGUGCCCCAGCGUGCAUUUGCAUACAGGUGUGUUUGCAUUCAGGUGUGCGUGCAUAUAUACAUUCAUGUGCGUUUGCAUAUGUAUGAGCGUAUGCACAGCUCAGUGCGU